rnacentral:rRNA from 1 species
GACGAACGCUGGCGGCGUGCUUAACACAUGCAAGUCGAACGGAAAGGCCCUGCUUUUGUGGGGUGCUCGAUUGGCGAACGGGUGAGUAACACGUGAGUAACCUGUCCUUGACUUUGUGAUAACUUCAGGAAACUGGGGCUAAUACCGGAUAGGAUCUCCUGCUGCAUGGGGGGGGUUGGAAAGAUUCGGCGGUUGGGGAUGGACUCGCGGCUUAUCAGCUUGUUGGUGGGGUAGUGGCUUACCAAGGCUUUGACGGGUAGCCGGCCUGAGAGGGUUACCGGCCACAUUGGGACUGAGAUACGGCCCAGACUCCUACGGGAGGCAGCAGUGGGGAAUAUUGCACAAUGGGCGGACGCCUGAUGCAGCAACGCCGCGUGCGGGAUGACGGCCUUUGGGUUGUAAACCGCUUUCGCCUGUGCCGAAGCGUGAGUGACGGUAAUGGGUAAAGAAGCAACGGCUAACUACGUG